rnacentral:rRNA from 1 species
UACUGGGCGUAAAGCGCACGCAGGCGGUCUGUCAAGUCGGAUGUGAAAUCCCCGGGCUCAACCUGGGAACUGCAUUCGAAACUGGCAGGCUUGAGUCUUGUAGAGGGGGGUAGAAUUCCAGGUGUAGCGGUGAAAUGCGUAGAGAUCUGGAGGAAUACCGGUGGCGAAGGCGGCCCCCUGGACAAAGACUGACGCUCAGGUGCGAAAGCGUGGGGAGCAAACAGGAUUAGAUACCCUGGUAGUCCACGCCGUAAACGAUGUCUACUUGGAGGUUGUGCCCUUGAGGCGUGGCUUCCGGAGCUAACGCGUUAAGUAGACCGCCUGGGGAGUACGGCCGCAAGGUUAAAACUCAAAUGAAUUGACGGGGGCCCGCACAAGCGGUGGAGCAUGUGGUUUAAUUCGAUGCAACGCGAAGAACC